GAUGAACGCUGGCGGCGUGCCUAAUACAUGCAAGUCGAGCGAACAGACGAGGAGCUUGCUCCUCUGACGUUAGCGGCGGACGGGUGAGUAACACGUGGAUAACCUACCUAUAAGACUGGGAUAACUUCGGGAAACCGGAGCUAAUACCGGAUAAUAUAUUGAACCGCAUGGUUCAAUAGUGGAAGACGGUUUUGCUGUCACUUAUAGAUGGAUCCGCGCCGCAUUAGCUAGUUGGUAAGGUAACGGCUUACCAAGGCAACGAUGCGUAGCCGACCUGAGAGGGUGAUCGGCCACACUGGAACUGAGACACGGUCCAGACUCCUACGGGAGGCAGCAGUAGGGAAUCUUCCGCAAAGGGCGAAAGCCUGACGGAGCAACGCCGCGUGAGUGAUGAAGGUCUUCGGAUCGUAAAACUCUGUUAUUAGGGAAGAACAAAUGUGUAAGUAACUAUGCACGUCUUGACGGUACCUAAUCAGAAAGCCACGGCUAACUACGUG
rnacentral:rRNA from 1 species